GCAUAACCCUGGGCCAGGGCUCUGGCUUUUCGUGAAAAUAGUUAUGUGGGUACAAGCCCUAGUGUAGACAAAGCUAUACCAGUAUAAUGGUAGCUGAUACCGGUACAGGUUAUUCCCUUUCAUAUAUGUGACUAAGCUAUACCACUAUAAGCACGUUUGUACAGAUAUAACUGUGUCCGCAGGGAGGAUUGUACUACUUCACCUAUACUGGCUUUGUUAAAGCGGUACCGCUUUUGUGUGUAGCAAGGCCUGAGUCAAAUUUGAAACAAAACUUGUAUGUGUAGGUGGGUGGGAAAUAAAAUCACACUUUUCAGAGAAGGCUGUGUGGAAGAGUCAUUGUGGGGUUCGAUGUUUGUGUCUCAAUGACUCCAAGUCAAGUGUGGCCUUUUGUGCUUGUAAACUGAGUGUUGGGGUGGAUGUUUCCUACGUGCCAGUGCCAGAAACUCAUCCAAGACUGAGUCAAAUCAGAUUGCAGGUUAUGGUGAUUAAAUUAUGCCUUCGCAGGCAUCAGUGUAGCAUCAUUACCUUGAGUUGUCUUCCAUGGUUUUUACAUGCCCUGAGGACAGAAAUUAAGCAAGCAAUGGGAAUGUGGUUAACAAUUUGUUGAUGCAGAAGCUCCCAGAAUAGAAUCUCAUUUCCCUCCCAGAGCUGUGCAGAACUAACUGAAGUAAACAGAAAUAAAAAUGUGGUUUUGAUAGAAAACAACCUGUGACUGAAUACACACAGAUCUAUAGGUGCACACUUCCAUGGCACAAUCAGUGUUACUCUGACAGCUCAUCAAUGGACUCAGAAGAUAAAGACAGAGAGGAAGAGAGUCUGCAGACAGCUUUCAAAAAGCUAAGAGUAGAUGCAGCAGGAUCUACCGCAUCUCUGUCUGUGGAUGAGGGAACAAGUCUGAGAGCACCGAUAAGAACAGCUAUGGACGGAACCAAACCUCAGCCUGUCUGUGCCAAAGAGACUUGGCAUGGGUGUGUGAGGAAGCCCUCCAGGGGGUCAUCAAGAACCCAGCGUCGUAGGCGUUCCAAGUCUCCUGUCCUGCAUCCUCCCAAGUUUACCUACUGCAGUAUGAAAGCAUCUUCUGCCCGCAGCCAGUUGAAACACAAAAGCCAGCCAGACACUGCAAAGAGUAAUAUCAGCUCAGACAUUUGUGUUGCAGAAGAACCGUGUACAGGGGACAAGUGUGAUUCCUGCUUUGAUGCCAAUGAUUGUAGAAGAGCCAGAAAUGAACCUUUGGGAGCUUCCACAACUGAACAGCCUUUGGAGAAUUCAAGAGAGAAUUCUGCUGCUGUUUCGUCGUCCUUUGAAACCAGCCUGGAUUCUAGACAGUCUUCAGAUUUCCAGUCAUUAUCUGUGCUUAGCGAUAGCAAGCAGUGUCCUUGCGUGGACAAGGAAUGCCAGUGCAAACAGUGGCAAGACGUGGAAGUGUACUCUUUUUCUGGCUUGCGGAAUGUCCUGUCAGAAUGUGAAAAGGCAGUGCUAGAAGUCCAUUCCCAGUCUCUGCAGAACAAAUCACCCUCUGGUAUGGCUUCAUCAGGUUCUCCCCGAUCUUGUUCUGAGCAAGCUCGAGCCUUCGUGGACGAUGUGACAAUUGAAGAUCUUUCCGGAUACAUGGAAUAUUACUUAUAUAUUCCCAAGAAAAUGUCCCACAUGGCAGAAAUGAUGUACACUUGACUACAAGGAAUCCAUGGAGAAUCAUGGGCUGGAAAUUCAGUAGUAAUGAGUGGAUGAAGUGCUUCCCUCAGAGCCAUGAGUGGGAAUUUGGCCAUUCUCAUUGCUGUGUAUUUGAUCAAAUGUUUCUUUGCACCAUACAGUGUAGUUUUUUAAUAAAGUGAAAAACAGA